GCAACUCGCCUGCACGAAGUCGGAAUUGCUAGUAAUCGUAGGUCAGCAUACUACGGUGAAUACGUUCCCGGGCCUUGUACACACCGCCCGUCAAACCAUGAGAGUUGGCAACACCCGAAGUCGGUAGUCUAACCGCAAGGAGGACGCCGCCGAAGGUGGGGUUGAUGAUUAGGGUUAAGUCGUAACAAGGUACC
rnacentral:rRNA from 1 species